UUUUACAAUGGAGAGUUUGAUCCUGGCUCAGGAUGAACGCUAGCUACAGGCUUAACACAUGCAAGUCGAGGGGAAACGGCAUUGAGUGCUUGCACUCUUUGGACGUCGACCGGCGCACGGGUGAGUAACGCGUAUCCAACCUUCC
rnacentral:rRNA from 1 species